AUUUAUAUAGUUUAAAUAUUAAAACAUUACACUUUCACUGUAAAAAUAAAAACUCUUUUUAUAAAUA
rnacentral:tRNA from 1 species